rnacentral:lncRNA from 1 species
CUUUAAACAGCAGGAACCCCUAGUGAUACCUUUCUUAUUUUCCUUCCUCCUUCUCUCCAUUUUAAUGAUCUCAUUGUAUUGUUUGUGUUUAUUUGCAUGUCUGUUUUCCUAAAUAAAUAUGGAAUUCUCGAGGAUGUAUGAAUAAUGUUACUUGGGAUAUUAGAUCGAAAGAUGGUACAUAUUAGGUUCUGAAGAAAUUACCCGAAUGAAGGAAUAAAUGUAAACUACUAUGUUAAUUAGAUCAUUAUCUUUACAUUCAACAAAUACCACAUGAAAAGCAGUAGGAAUCUGUGGUAUUGCUUCUUCCAUUCUUAUUCUUUCCCACUGCGCCCCCAACCCCAUCUCAGCCAAGGCAUAAAUUUUAUUAGGGUGUGGAAGGCCGUGAGAACUGGAAGCUGUUCUGCCACUAUCAAAGGGGGCUCACCUGAUUUGGAAAAGUGAGCACUGGCAACACCCAUGCCCAACCGUGUUGUCAGUGGAAGUGAUCAUCUUGGACACAAGGUGAGUAAGAAAAUCUAACAGCUUUACUAACUAGAGGCUGCAGUCAUGGUUGGGAUAAACAUAACUCUGGAAUGGAGGCCCAAGCUAGCUACACACUUCUGGCAAACCCUGAGGCUGCACACAUGGUAACAUACUUCUCAGAAGCAGAUUUUGAUAAGAUGUGAAAGGGCCCAGAAGAAAGUAAAGUCUGCACAGCCUGCACUUUGAAGAAAAAGGAAUCCACAUCUAGAUAUAUCAUAAGCCAAUCACUGAAAACAAAAUACAAAGAGAAAAUCUUAAAAGCAACAAGAGAAAGAAAAAAACUCAUAACAUAUAGGUGAGCAUCAAUAUAAUUAAGGCUGACUUCAUAAUAAACAAUGAAGGCUAGAAUUACAUAUUCAAAGCGAUAAAAGAAAAAAAUUAGCCAACAGAAGAAGACACAUAGACAUUGCACUCAGCCCAAUUCUCGCAUGGCUUCCUUAAAAAGUUUUCCUUUUAAAACCCCUGCCUCUCCCACAAAAAAUCAAAGUGAUUAAUUUGGAUAAGAAUCUGGCUACUUCCCGUUUACUAGUUUUGGUUAAUAGUCACUUUCUUUCUACCAGAUGUUGCUCUUGUUAAUUGCACUCUGCAAGUGGUAAGCAUCUGGACCUGCAUUUCAUUACAAAACUACCAAAACAGAAUUCUAUAUCCAGUGAAACUAUCCUUCAAAAAUGAAGGCUAAAUAAGGAUGUUCCCAGAUUAAUAAAGACUGAGAGAAUUUGCUGUUAGCAAAUCUACCUUCUAAGAAAUACUAAAGGAAGACCUUCAAUGCUGAAAGGAAAUGACACCAGAUCCAGAACUACGGGAAGAAAUGUAGAGCAACGGAAAAGGGCUGGGCCAUACAGUAUGUACUCAAGAUUUAGUAGUUAAUUGACUGAUUGAACUUUAUAGUACAGAUACAAUAUUACGGAAAUUCAGAGGAGAGAAAUUACUAACAACUUGAGCAGGUGGAAAAGCAUUGAAGCUUGGUAGAGAAGAUGGUGGAACUGUGCAGCAUUGAGACAUGUCCAGUUGGAGAGAUAUGAAGCUGGGUGAAAGUAGUACAAGAGGAGGCAACUGAAUGUACAACGGCAAAGAGAAAGAAGAAUCAGUGGAUGUGCAGAGGAAAGAGUGUGCAGGGAGCUUCCGGUAGCUGCCACAAUCCUUGGCUAGUGACCCCUUCCACCAUCUUCAAAGUCAGCAUCAAGGUGGAACCAAUUUCACUUCUCCUUAAAUUUGGGCUGGUACUGUGACUCACUUUUACCAACAGAAUGCAGUGAAAGUGACACUCAUUCCAGGCCUAGUCUUUAAGAGGCCUGGAAUCUUCUCACUGUCUUAGAAGAGAGAAAUGAAGUAAAGAAGCUUGUACCAGAAGAGUGCAUAAUAAAAUAUUGUGUGGAGAGAGAAGCCACAUGGAGAAAAAAUUAACUGCUUCUGUCAAAGGUCAGCAUCAAGGCCCAAGAAUGUGAGUUAUGGGUUGUUCCAGGCCCAGCCAAGCUCUCAGCUGAAUGGAACCGCAUGAGUGGCCACAGUCAAAAUCAUGUGCAGCAAGAGAACCACCUGGACACCCAUGGCAUCAUGAGAAAUAAUAAAUCAUUGUUCUUUUAAGCCACCAUUUGGGGAGAGGGUAUUAUAGAGUAAUAGGUAACUGAAAUAACCACUUUAGUAAGUGUUCUUUACUCACUCAGUUGCUCAGUGACCUGAAAGACUUUCUUACACCUACUCUCUUUCUCACCUACCUGUAUCCAAUC